GCAGAACGCGAAGAACCUUACCAGGUCUUGACAUCCCAUUGACCGCUAUGGAGACAUAGUUUUCCCUUCGGGGACAGUGGUGACAGGUGGUGCAUGGUUGUCGUCAGCUCGUGUCGUGAGAUGUUGGGUUAAGUCCCGCAACGAGCGCAACCCUUGUUCUUAGUUGCCAUCAUUUAGUUGGGCACUCUAAGGAGACUGCCGGUGACAAACCGGAGGAAGGUGGGGAUGACGUCAAAUCAUCAUGCCCCUUAUGACCUGGGCUACACACGUGCUACAAUGGACGGUACAAACGGUUGCCAACCCGCGAGGGGGAGCUAAUCCGAUAAAACCGUUCUCAGUUCGGAUUGUAGGCUGCAACUCGCCUACAUGAAGCCGGAAUCGCUAGUAAUGGCGUAUCAGCUACGACGCCGUGAAUACGUUCCCGGGUCUUGUACACAC
rnacentral:rRNA from 1 species